AAUCCGUCAAUUCUUCUAAUUAAAAUUGAAAGUGAUCGGCAUGGUUCGAAGCUCAAUUGGUUUAUUGUGGAUUUUCUAUAGUUUUUUACCCCCGUGAAUUUUGAGAAUAGCUGAAGUCACUUUGGUAAACUUCAUGGACCAAUGCAGUUCCUGAGAGGCAGAAUAUUCUACUAAUGGUUGUAACAGGGUAGCUGCAUGCAAAAAAUGAAGACUGCUGAUAAUGGAGAAGAAUGCAAGUUUUUUGUUUGAUGAUGCUGAUGACUGGGCUGGAGGAUACCGUGAUGCUACAGUUUUGUAAUAAAACAAUGAAUAUGGA